rnacentral:rRNA from 1 species
AGAGUUUGAUCAUGGCUCAGAGCGAACGCUGGCGGCAGGCUUAACACAUGCAAGUCGAGCGGGCGUAGCAAUACGUCAGCGGCAGACGGGUGAGUAACGCGUGGGAACGUACCUUUUGGUUCGGAACAACACAGGGAAACUUGUGCUAAUACCGGAUAAGCCCUUACGGGGGAAAGAUUUAUCGCCGAAAGAUCGGCCCGCGUCUGAUUAGCUAGUUGGUGAGGUAACGGCUCACCAAGGCGACGAUCAGUAGCUGGUCUGAGAGGAUGAUCAGCCACAUUGGGACUGAGACACGGCCCAAACUCCUACGGGAGGCAGCAGUGGGGAAUAUUGGACAAUGGGCGCAAGCCUGAUCCAGCCAUGCCGCGUGAGUGAUGAAGGCCCUAGGGUUGUAAAGCUCUUUUGUGCGGGAAGAUAAUGACGGUACCGCAAGAAUAAGCCCCGGCUAACUUCGUG